rnacentral:rRNA from 1 species
AUUGAACGCUGGAGGCAUGCUUUACACAUGCAAGUCGAACGGCAGCGGGGGCUUCGGCCUGCCGGCGAGUGGCGAACGGGUGAGUAAUGCAUCGGAACGUACCCAGUCAUGGGGGAUAACUACGCGAAAGCGUAGCUAAUACCGCAUACGCCCUGAGGGGGAAAGCGGGGGAUCGCAAGACCUCGCGUGAUUGGAGCGGCCGAUGUCGGAUUAGCUAGUUGGUGGGGUAAAGGCCUACCAAGGCGACGAUCCGUAGCGGGUCUGAGAGGAUGAUCCGCCACACUGGGACUGAGACACGGCCCAGACUCCUACGGGAGGCAGCAGUGGGGAAUUCUGGACAAUGGGGGGCAACCCUGAUCCAGCCAUGCCGCGUGAGUGAAGAAGGCCUCGGGUUGUAAAGCUCUUUCUAGACGGAAGAAAACGACCCUCCUAAUACGGGGGUGGAUGACGGUAGCACAGGAAUAAGUCUACGGCGUAACUACGUAGCCAGCAGCCGCGGUAA